AGCGAACGCUGGCGGCGGGCCUAACACAUGCAAGUCGAACGGAUCCUUCGGGAUUAGUGGUGGACGGGUGAGUAACACGUGGGAACGUGCCCUUUGGUUCGGAACAACUCAGGGAAACUUGAGCUAAUACCGGAUGUGCCCUUCGGGGGAAAGAUUUAUCGCCAUUGGAGCGGCCCGCGUCUGAUUAGCUAGUUGGUGAGGUAAAGGCUCACCAAGGCGACGAUCAGUAGCUGGUCUGAGAGGAUGAUCAGCCACAUUGGGACUGAGACACGGCCCAAACUCCUACGGGAGGCAGCAGUGGGGAAUCUUGCGCAAUGGGCGAAAGCCUGACGCAGCCAUGCCGCGUGAAUGAUGAAGGUCUUAGGAUUGUAAAAUUCUUUCACCGGGGACGAUAAUGACGGUACCCGGAGAAGAAGCCCCGGCUAACUUCGUGCCAGCCGCCGCGGUAAAAC
rnacentral:rRNA from 1 species